rnacentral:rRNA from 1 species
AACGAACGCUGGCGGCAUGCCUAACACAUGCAAGUCGAACGAACCCUUCGGAGCUAGUGGCGCACGGGUGCGUAACACGUGGGAACGUGCCUUUAGGUUCGGAAUAACUCACCGAAACUUGUGCUAAUACCGGAUGUGGUCUUCGGGGGAAAGAUUUAUCGCCUUUGGAUCGGCCCGCGUCUGAUUAGCUAGUUGGUGAGGUAAAGGCCCACCAAGGCGACGAUCCGUAGCUGGUCUGAGAGGAUGAUCAGCCACACUGGGACUGAGACACGGCCCAAACUCCUACGGGAGGCAGCAGUGGGGAAUCUUGCGCAAUGGGCGAAAGCCUGACGCAGCCAUGCCGCGUGAAUGAUGAAGGUCUUAGGGUUGUAAAGUUCUUUCACCGGGGACGAUAAUGACGGUACCCGGAGAAGAAGCUCCGGCUAACUUCGUG